AAGGCCAUGAUGGAGAGCCAGCUCAGCCCCAACCCCUUCCUCCCACUGAGCCAGAUGGUGGGCACACACCCCUCAAGAACCCCCCACCCUAGGAGGGAGCCAGGGCAAGGGCAACUGGGGACCCAACUUCUGAGAGAGAGAGACACCAUCACUCUGAGGGCAGAAGCGGAAACCAGAGCACAGGGUCUCGGGCGGGACACGGUGGCCGCCCGCAUACUUGAAUGUACAUGCAUAUUUAUUGCUUACACGUGUUUGCCAUGUUGUU
rnacentral:lncRNA from 1 species